rnacentral:rRNA from 13 species
UGAAGAGUUUGAUCAUGGCUCAGAUUGAACGCUGGCGGCAGGCCUAACACAUGCAAGUCGAGCGGAUGACGGGAGCUUGCUUCCUGAUUUAGCGGCGGACGGGUGAGUAAUGCCUAGGAAUCUGCCUGGUAGUGGGGGAUAACGUUCCGAAAGGAACGCUAAUACCGCAUACGUCCUACGGGAGAAAGCAGGGGACCUUCGGGCCUUGCGCUAUCAGAUGAGCCUAGGUCGGAUUAGCUAGUUGGUGAGGUAAUGGCUCACCAAGGCGACGAUCCGUAACUGGUCUGAGAGGAUGAUCAGUCACACUGGAACUGAGACACGGUCCAGACUCCUACGGGAGGCAGCAGUGGGGAAUAUUGGACAAUGGGCGCAAGCCUGAUCCAGCAAUGCCGCGUGAGUGAUGAAGGCCUUAGGGUUGUAAAGCUCUUUUACCAGGGAUGAUAAUGACAGUACCUGGAGAAUAAGC